GACGAACGCUGGCGGCGUGCUUAACACAUGCAAGUCGAACGGAAAGGCCCUGCUUUUGUGGGGUGCUCGAGUGGCGAACGGGUGAGUAACACGUGAGUAACCUGCCCUUGACUUUGGGAUAACUUCAGGAAACUGGGGCUAAUACCGGAUAGGAGCUCCUGCUGCAUGGUGGGGGUUGGAAAGUUUCGGCGGUUGGGGAUGGACGCGCGGCUUAUCAGCUUGUUGGUGGGGUAGUGGCUUACCAAGGCUUUGACGGGUAGCCGGCCUGAGAGGGUGACCGGCCACAUUGGGACUGAGAUACGGCCCAGACUCCUACGGGAGGCAGCAGUGGGGAAUAUUGCACAAUGGGCGGAAGCCUGAUGCAGCAACGCCGCGUGCGGGAUGAAGGCCUUCGGGUUGUAAACCGCUUUCGCCUGUGACGAAGCGUGAGUGACGGUAAUGGGUAAAGAAGCACCGGCUAACUACGUG
rnacentral:rRNA from 1 species